CUAUUCCUCCCGCUGCAGGCGCGGCCGCUUUAAGCGGGGGCGGGACGGCGCGCGGCAGUGCGACGGCCGCGGCGGGGAGGGCUCGGCUGGGGGUCGCGGGCCCCGGUUGCUGGAGGCCCGGCGCCGAGGUCAAGGCUGGGCGACCUCAUGGACAUGAUACUUUUCUCUUGAGCAGCAGACCAGCUAAGGAAAAAAAAUGGCGUUUGUGGCAACACCAGGGGCCACAGUGGUUGACCAAACCACUCUGAUGAAAAAAUACCUUCAGUUUGUGGCAGCUCUCACGGAUGUAAAUACACCUGAUGAAACGAAGUUAAAAAUGAUGCAAGAAGUUAGUGAAAAUUUUGAGAAUGUCACUUCAUCUCCUCAAUAUUCUACAUUCCUGGAACAUAUCAUCCCUCGGUUUCUUACAUUUCUUCAAGAUGGAGAGGUCCAGUUUCUUCAGGAGAAACCAGCCCAGCAACUGCGGAAGCUCGUUCUCGAGAUAAUUCACAGAAUACCAACCAACGAACAUCUUCGUCCUCAUACAAAAAAUGUUUUGUCUGUGAUGUUUCGCUUUUUAGAGACAGAAAAUGAAGAAAACGUUCUUAUUUGCUUACGAAUAAUUAUUGAACUACACAAACAGUUCAGGCCACCCAUCACACAAGAAAUUCACCAUUUUUUGGAUUUUGUGAAACAGAUUUACAAGGAGCUUCCAAAAGUCGUGAACCGCUACUUCGAGAACCCGCAGGUGAUCCCCGAGAACACCGUCCCCCCCCCAGAAGUGGUCGGAAUGAUCACAACGAUCGCGGUGAAGGUCAACCCCGAACGCGAGGACAGCGAGACCAGAACCCACUCCAUCAUCCCGAGAGGAUCUCUGUCUUUGAAAGUGUUGGCAGAACUGCCCAUUAUUGUUGUGUUAAUGUAUCAGCUCUACAAGGUGAAUAUCCACAGUGUUGUUGCUGAAUUUGUACCCUUGAUCAUGAACACCAUUGCAAUUCAGGUGUCUGCUCAAGCCAGGCAACAUAAGCUUUACAACAAGGAGCUGUAUGCUGAUUUCAUUGCUGCUCAGAUUAAAACAUUGUCAUUUUUAGCGUAUAUCAUCAGGAUUUACCAGGAGUUGGUGACGAAAUACUCUCAGCAGAUGGUGAAAGGAAUGUUACAGCUGCUUUCAAAUUGCCCGGCAGAAACCGCGCACCUGCGAAAGGAGCUUCUCAUCGCCGCCAAGCACAUCCUCACCACCGAGCUGCGAAACCAGUUCAUUCCUUGCAUGGACAAGCUGUUUGAUGAAUCCAUACUCAUUGGCUCAGGAUAUACUGCUCGAGAGACUCUCAGGCCCCUCGCCUACAGCACGCUGGCGGACCUCGUGCACCACGUCCGUCAGCACCUGCCCCUCAGCGACCUCUCCCUCGCCGUCCAGCUCUUUGCUAAGAACAUCGACGAUGAGUCCCUGCCCAGCAGCAUCCAGACCAUGUCCUGCAAGCUCCUGCUGAACCUGGUGGACUGCAUCCGCUCCAAGAGCGAGCAGGAGAGCGGCAACGGGAGAGACGUGCUGAUGCGGAUGCUGGAGGUUUUUGUUCUCAAAUUCCACACCAUUGCACGGUACCAGCUCUCUGCCAUUUUUAAGAAGUGCAAGCCUCAGUCGGAACUGGGAGCCGUGGAAGCAGCGCUGCCCGGGGUCCCCGCGGCCCCUGCGGCUCCGGGCCCCGCCCCUUCCCCCGCCCCGGUUCCCGCCCCCGCCCCGCCCCCGCCCCCCACCCCCGCCCCCCCGGUGACCCCAGCGCCCGUGCCUCCCUUCGAGAAGCAAGGCGAGAAGGAUAAGGAGGACAAGCAGACCUUCCAGGUCACAGACUGCCGGAGCUUGGUCAAGACCUUGGUCUGCGGCGUCAAGACAAUCACGUGGGGCAUCACGUCGUGUAAAGCGCCCGGUGAAGCUCAGUUCAUUCCUAAUAAGCAGCUGCAGCCCAAAGAGACUCAGAUUUACAUAAAACUUGUGAAAUAUGCAAUGCAGGCUUUAGAUAUUUAUCAGGUCCAGAUCGCAGGAAAUGGGCAGACCUACAUUCGCGUCGCAAACUGCCAGACUGUUCGAAUGAAGGAAGAGAAGGAGGUGCUGGAGCACUUUGCCGGCGUCUUCACCAUGAUGAACCCCUUGACAUUUAAGGAAAUUUUCCAAACUACAGUCCCUUACAUGGUGGAAAGAAUCUCGAAAAACUACGCACUUCAGAUUGUUGCCAAUUCCUUCUUGGCAAAUCCUACUACCUCUGCUCUGUUUGCUACGAUUCUGGUGGAGUAUCUCCUAGACCGCCUGCCGGAAAUGGGCUCCAACGUGGAGCUCUCCAACCUGUACCUCAAGCUGUUCAAGUUGGUCUUUGGCUCCGUCUCCCUCUUUGCAGCUGAAAACGAGCAGAUGCUAAAGCCUCAUCUGCACAAGAUCGUGAACAGUUCAAUGGAGCUCGCCCAGACUGCCAAAGAACCCUACAACUAUUUCCUGCUGCUCCGAGCCCUGUUCCGCUCCAUCGGGGGAGGUAGCCACGAUCUCCUGUAUCAGGAAUUUUUGCCUCUCCUGCCAAACCUCCUGCAAGGGCUGAACAUGCUGCAGAGCGGCCUGCACAAGCAGCACAUGAAGGACCUCUUCGUGGAGCUGUGUCUCACGGUGCCCGUGCGGCUGAGCUCGCUCCUGCCCUAUCUGCCCAUGUUGAUGGACCCCUUGGUGUCGGCUCUCAACGGCUCUCAGACGUUGGUCAGCCAAGGCCUGAGGACGCUGGAGUUGUGUGUGGACAACCUGCAGCCCGAUUUCCUCUAUGACCACAUCCAGCCCGUGCGCGCCGAGCUCAUGCAGGCUUUGUGGCGCACGUUACGCAACCCUGCUGACAGCAUUUCUCACGUGGCCUACCGCGUCCUUGGUAAAUUCGGUGGCAGCAACAGGAAGAUGCUAAAGGAGUCCCAGAAGCUGCACUAUGUCGUGACUGAAGUGCAAGGGCCCAGCAUCACAGUGGAGUUCUCUGACUGUAAAGCCUCUCUGCAGCUCCCAAUGGAGAAGGCCAUUGAAACAGCUCUGGACUGCCUGAAAAGUGCAAACACCGAGCCCUACUACCGGAGGCAGGCGUGGGAAGUGAUCAAGUGCUUCCUGGUGGCAAUGAUGAGCCUGGAGGACAAUAAGCACGCGCUCUACCAGCUCCUGGCGCACCCUAACUUUACAGAAAAGACCAUACCGAAUGUCAUCAUAUCACAUCGCUACAAAGCGCAGGACACUCCAGCUCGGAAGACCUUUGAGCAGGCUCUGACCGGGGCGUUCAUGUCCGCUGUCAUUAAAGACCUCCGGCCCAGCGCCCUGCCCUUUGUGGCCAGCCUGAUUCGCCACUACACCAUGGUGGCCGUCGCCCAGCAGUGCGGUCCGUUCUUGCUCCCCUGCUACCAGGUGGGCAGCCAGCCCAGCACGGCCAUGUUUCACAGCGAAGAAAACGGCUCCAAAGGAAUGGACCCCCUGGUUCUCAUUGAUGCGAUAGCUAUUUGUAUGGCGUAUGAAGAGAAGGAGCUUUGCAAGAUCGGGGAGGUGGCCCUGGCUGUGAUAUUUGACGUUGCGAGCAUCAUCCUGGGCUCCAAGGAGCGGGCGUGCCAGCUGCCCCUCUUCUCCUACAUCGUGGAACGCCUGUGCGCCUGCUGCUACGAGCAGGCCUGGUAUGCCAAGCUCGGGGGCGUGGUGUCCAUUAAGUUCCUCAUGGAGCGGCUGCCUCUCACGUGGGUUCUGCAGAACCAGCAGACCUUCCUCAAAGCGCUGCUCUUUGUCAUGAUGGACCUGACCGGAGAGGUUUCCAACGGGGCCGUCGCCAUGGCCAAGACCACGCUGGAGCAGCUUCUGAUGCGGUGCGCGACGCCCCUGAAGGACGAGGAGAGAGCCGAGGAGAUCGUGGCGGCCCAGGAGAAGUCCUUCCACCAUGUGACGCAUGACCUGGUUCGAGAAGUCACCUCUCCCAACUCCACUGUGAGAAAACAGGCUAUGCAUUCGCUGCAGGUACUGGCCCAGGUCACUGGAAAAAGCGUGACCGUGAUAAUGGAACCCCACAAAGAGGUUCUCCAGGACAUGGUCCCGCCUAAGAAGCAUUUGCUCCGACACCAGCCUGCCAACGCCCAGAUAGGCCUGAUGGAAGGCAACACGUUCUGUACCACUUUGCAGCCCCGGCUCUUCACGAUGGACCUUAACGUGGUGGAGCAUAAGGUGUUUUACACAGAGCUCUUGAAUUUGUGCGAGGCCGAAGAUUCAGCUUUAACAAAGCUGCCCUGUUAUAAAAGCCUUCCGUCUCUUGUCCCUUUACGAAUUGCAGCAUUAAAUGCACUUGCUGCCUGCAAUUACCUGCCUCAGUCCAGAGAGAAGAUCAUCGCUGCCCUCUUCAAAGCCCUUAAUUCAACCAACAGCGAGCUCCAGGAGGCGGGCGAGGCGUGUAUGAGGAAGUUUCUGGAAGGUGCCACCAUAGAAGUUGAUCAAAUCCACACACACAUGCGGCCUUUGUUGAUGAUGCUGGGGGAUUAUCGAAGCCUGACGCUGAACGUCGUGAACCGCCUGACCUCGGUGACCAGGCUCUUCCCAAACUCCUUCAAUGAUAAGUUUUGUGAUCAGAUGAUGCAACAUCUGCGAAAGUGGAUGGAAGUGGUGGUCCUCACCCACAAAGGGGGCCAGCGGAGCGACGGAAACGAAAUGAAAAUUUGCUCGGCAAUCAUAAACCUCUUCCACCUGAUCCCAGCUGCACCGCAGACUCUGGUCAAGCCUUUGUUGGAGGUUGUGAUGAAAACGGAACGUGCUAUGUUGAUCGAGGCUGGCAGUCCAUUCCGAGAGCCUCUGAUCAAGUUCCUGACCCGCCACCCCUCGCAGACGGUGGAGCUGUUCAUGAUGGAAGCCACGCUGAACGACCCCCAGUGGAGCAGGAUGUUCAUGAGUUUUUUAAAACACAAAGACGCCAGACCUCUUCGAGACGUGCUGGCGGCCAACCCGAACCGGUUCAUCACGCUCCUGCUGCCGGGCGGCGCCCAGGCGGCCGUGCGCCCCGGCUCGCCCAGCACCAGCACCCUGCGCCUGGACCUGCAGUUUCAGGCCAUCAAGAUCAUCAGCAUCAUAGUUAAAAACGACGACUCCUGGCUGGCCAAUCAGCACUCUCUGGUGAGCCAGCUGAGGCGCGUGUGGGUCAGUGAAACCUUUCAGGAACGACACCGGAAGGAGAACAUGGCUGCCACCAACUGGAAGGAGCCCAAGCUGCUGGCUUACUGUCUGCUGAACUACUGCAGGAGGAACUACGGAGACAUAGAGUUGCUCUUCCAGCUGCUCCGGGCCUUCACGGGUCGUUUCCUGUGCAACAUGACGUUCUUGAAAGAGUACAUGGAGGAGGAGAUUCCCAAAAGUUACAGCAUCGCUCAGAAGCGGGCCCUGUUUUUUCGCUUUGUGGACUUCAAUGACGCCAACUUUGGAGAUGAACUCAAGGCCAAGGUUCUGCAGCACAUCUUGAAUCCUGCUUUCUUGUACAGCUUUGAGAAGGGGGAAGGAGAGCAGCUCUUGGGACCUCCCAAUCCGGAAGGCGAUAACCCAGAAAGCAUCACCAGUGUUUUUAUAACCAAGGUCCUGGACCCCGAGAAGCAGGCGGACAUGCUGGACUCGCUGCGCAUCUACCUGCUGCAGUGCGCCACGCUGCUGGUGGAGCACGCCCCCCACCACAUCCACGACAACAACAAGAACCGCAACAGCAAGCUGCGCCGCCUCAUGACCUUCGCGUGGCCCUGCCUGCUCUCCAAGGCCUGCGUGGACCCCGCCUGCAAGUACAGCGGACACUUGCUCCUGGCCCACAUCAUCGCCAAGUUCGCCAUACACAAGAAAAUUGUCCUGCAGGUCUUUCACAGUCUGCUCAAGGCCCAUGCAAUGGAAGCUCGAGCCAUUGUCCGGCAGGCCAUGGCCAUUUUGACCCCGGCCGUGCCCGCCCGGAUGGAGGACGGGCACCAGAUGCUGACGCACUGGACGAGGAAGAUCAUCGUGGAGGAGGGGCACACGGUGCCCCAGCUGGUGCACAUCCUGCAUUUGAUCGUGCAGCAUUUUAAGGUGUACUACCCCGUGCGGCACCACCUGGUGCAGCACAUGGUCAGUGCCAUGCAGAGGCUGGGCUUCACGCCCAGUGUCACCAUCGAGCAGAGGCGGCUGGCCGUGGACCUGUCUGAGGUCGUCAUCAAGUGGGAGCUGCAGAGGAUCAAGGACCAGCAGCCGGACUCAGAUAUGGACCCAAAUUCAAGUGGAGAAGGAGUCAAUUCUGUCUCGUCUUCCAUCAAAAGAGGUCUGUCUGUGGACUCUGCACAGGAGGUGAAACGCUUCCGGACGGCGACAGGCGCCAUCAGCGCAGUGUUUGGACGGAGCCAGUCUCUGCCGGGUGCGGACUCCCUGCUCGCCAAGCCCAUUGACAAGCAGCACACGGAUACCGUGGUGAACUUCCUCAUCCGAGUGGCCUGUCAGGUCAACGACAACACCAACACUGCGGGGUCUCCUGGGGAGGUGCUGUCCCGCCGCUGCGUGACUCUCCUGAAGACGGCCUUGAGACCAGACAUGUGGUCCAAGUCGGAGCUUAAACUGCAGUGGUUCGACAAGCUGCUGAUGAGCGUGGAGCAGCCUAAUCAAGUCAACUAUGGGAACAUUUGCACGGGGCUGGAGGUGCUGAGCUUCUUGCUCACUGUCCUCCAGUCUCCAGCCAUCCUGAGCAGCUUCAAACCCCUGCAGCGUGGGAUCGCGGCCUGCAUGACGUGCGGAAACACCAAAGUGUUGCGAGCCGUGCACAGCCUCCUCUCUCGCCUCAUGAGUAUUUUCCCAACAGAGCCAAGUACGUCGAGCGUGGCCUCCAAAUACGAGGAGCUGGAGUGCCUCUACGCGGCGGUGGGAAAGGUCAUCUAUGAAGGCCUCACCAACUACGAGAAGGCCACCAACGCCAACCCCUCCCAGCUCUUUGGGACCCUGAUGAUCCUCAAGUCCGCCUGCAGCAACAACCCGAGCUACAUCGACAGGCUCAUCUCCGUCUUCAUGCGCUCCCUGCAGAAGAUGGUCCGCGAGCACCUGAACCCGCAGGCCGCGGCGGGCAGCACCGAAGCCACCUCAGGAACCAGCGAGCUGGUGAUGCUGAGCCUGGAGCUGGUGAAGACGCGCCUGGCCGUGAUGAGCGUGGAGAUGCGGAAGAACUUCGUUCAGGCCAUCCUGACCUCCCUCAUCGAAAAGUCCCCGGACGCCAAAAUCCUCCGGGCGGUGGUGAAGAUCGUGGAAGAGUGGGUUAAAAAUAACUCUCCAAUGGCAGCCAAUCAGACACCGACUCUCCGGGAGAAGUCCAUUCUGCUUGUGAAAAUGAUGACCUACAUAGAAAAGCGUUUUCCAGAAGACCUUGAACUAAACGCCCAGUUUUUAGACCUUGUUAACUACGUCUACAGGGACGAGACGCUGUCUGGCAGCGAGCUGACCGCAAAGCUCGAGCCUGCCUUUCUCUCAGGGCUGCGCUGUGCCCAGCCGCUCAUCAGGGCCAAGUUUUUUGAGGUUUUUGACAACUCUAUGAAGCGUCGUGUCUACGAGCGCCUGCUGUACGUGACCUGCUCCCAGAACUGGGAGGCCAUGGGGAACCACUUCUGGAUCAAGCAGUGCAUCGAGCUCCUGUUGGCCGUGUGUGAGAAGAGCACGCCCAUCGGAACGAGCUGCCAAGGAGCCAUGCUGCCGUCCAUCACCAACGUCAUCAACCUGGCCGACAGCCACGACCGCGCCGCCUUCGCCAUGGUCACGCACGUCAAGCAGGAGCCUCGGGAGCGGGAGAACAGCGAGUCCAAGGAGGAGGAUGUAGAGAUAGAUAUUGAACUAGCCCCAGGAGAUCAGACCAGCACACCCAAAACCAAAGAACUUUCUGAAAAGGACAUUGGAAACCAGCUGCAUAUGUUAACCAACAGACACGACAAGUUUCUGGAUACACUCCGGGAAGUGAAGACGGGCGCCCUGCUCAGCGCCUUCGUCCAGCUCUGCCACAUCUCCACCACGCUGGCCGAAAAGACGUGGGUGCAGCUUUUUCCCAGGUUGUGGAAAAUUCUGUCUGACAGACAGCAGCAUGCUCUGGCGGGCGAGAUCAGCCCCUUCCUGUGCAGCGGCAGCCACCAGGUGCAGCGGGACUGCCAGCCCAGCGCGCUCAACUGCUUCGUGGAGGCCAUGUCCCAGUGCGUCCCCCCCAUCCCCAUCCGGCCCUGCGUCCUCAAGUACCUGGGGAAGACCCACAACCUCUGGUUCCGCUCCACCUUGAUGCUCGAGCACCAGGCUUUUGAAAAAGGUCUGAGUCUGCAGAUUAAGCCGAAGCAAACCUCGGAAUUUUAUGAGCAGGAGAGCAUAACGCCCCCUCAGCAGGAGAUUCUGGAUUCCCUUGCUGAACUCUACUCCUUGUUACAAGAGGAAGACAUGUGGGCGGGCUUGUGGCAGAAGCGCUGCAAGUACUCAGAGACGGCGACAGCCAUCGCCUACGAGCAGCACGGGUUCUUUGAGCAGGCUCAAGAAUCGUAUGAGAAGGCAAUGGAUAAAGCCAAAAAAGAGCAUGAGAGAAGCAACGCGUCCCCUGCCAUUUUCCCGGAAUACCAGCUUUGGGAGGAUCACUGGAUUCGGUGCUCCAAGGAGUUGAACCAGUGGGAAGCCUUGACAGAGUACGGCCAGUCUAAGGGCCACAUCAACCCUUACCUCGUCCUGGAGUGUGCUUGGCGGGUGUCCAACUGGACGGCCAUGAAGGAGGCGCUGGUGCAGGUAGAAGUAAGCUGUCCGAAGGAGAUGGCUUGGAAGGUGAAUAUGUACCGUGGAUACCUGGCCAUCUGCCACCCCGAGGAGCAGCAGCUCAGCUUCAUCGAGCGCCUGGUGGAAAUGGCCAGCAGCCUGGCCAUCCGUGAGUGGCGGCGGCUGCCCCACGUGGUGUCGCACGUGCACACGCCCCUUCUCCAGGCAGCCCAGCAAAUCAUUGAGCUUCAGGAAGCUGCUCAGAUCAAUGCAGGCUUGCAGCCCACCAACCUGGGGAGGAACAACAGCCUGCACGACAUGAAGACAGUGGUGAAGACCUGGCGGAACAGGCUGCCCAUCGUGUCGGACGACUUGUCCCACUGGAGCAGCGUCUUCAUGUGGCGGCAGCAUCAUUACCAGGCUAUUGUGACUGCGUAUGAAAACAGUUCUCAGCAUGAUCCAAGUUCGAAUAACGCUAUGCUUGGGGUUCACGCAUCGGCGUCAGCAAUCAUCCAGUACGGGAAAAUUGCCCGAAAACAGGGACUGGUCAAUGUAGCUCUGGAUAUAUUAAGUCGUAUUCACACCAUCCCCACGGUCCCCAUCGUGGACUGCUUCCAGAAGAUACGACAGCAAGUCAAGUGCUACCUCCAGCUGGCGGGCGUCAUGGGCAAGAAUGAGUGCAUGCAGGGCCUUGAAGUUAUUGAAUCUACAAACUUAAAAUACUUCACAAAAGAGAUGACAGCCGAAUUUUAUGCACUGAAGGGAAUGUUCUUGGCUCAGAUCAACAAGUCUGAGGAAGCAAACAAGGCCUUUUCUGCGGCUGUGCAGAUGCACGAUGUGCUGGUGAAAGCUUGGGCCAUGUGGGGCGACUACCUGGAGAACAUCUUUGUGAAGGAGCGGCAGCUGCAUCUUGGGGUGUCUGCCAUUACCUGUUACCUGCACGCGUGCCGGCAUCAGAACGAGAGCAAAUCAAGAAAAUACUUGGCCAAGGUGCUGUGGCUUUUGAGUUUUGAUGAUGACAAAAAUACCUUGGCUGAUGCUGUGGACAAGUACUGCAUCGGGGUACCGCCCAUCCAGUGGCUGGCCUGGAUCCCACAGCUGCUCACCUGUCUGGUUGGCUCCGAGGGAAAGCUGCUCUUGAACCUCAUUAGCCAGGUGGGACGCGUGUACCCCCAAGCCGUCUACUUCCCCAUCCGGACCCUCUACCUGACCCUAAAGAUAGAGCAGCGGGAGCGCUACAAGAGCGAUCCAGGGCCCAUAAGAGCCACAGCCCCCAUGUGGCGCUGCAGCCGAAUCAUGCACAUGCAGCGGGAGCUACACCCGACCCUGCUGUCUUCCCUGGAAGGCAUCGUCGACCAGAUGGUCUGGUUCCGAGAGAACUGGCACGAGGAGGUUCUCAGGCAGCUCCAGCAGGGCCUGGCCAAGUGCUACUCGGUCGCCUUUGAGAAAAGCGGGGCUGUGUCGGACGCCAAAAUCACCCCCCACACUCUCAACUUUGUCAAGAAGCUGGUGAGCACGUUCGGGGUGGGCUUGGAGAACGUGUCCAACGUCUCGACCAUGUUCUCCAGCGCGGCCUCCGAGUCUCUCGCCCGGCGGGCGCAGGCCACCGCGCAGGACCCUGUCUUCCAGAAGCUGAAGGGCCAGUUCACCACUGAUUUUGACUUCAGUGUUCCAGGAUCCAUGAAGCUGCAUAAUCUUAUUUCUAAAUUGAAAAAGUGGAUCAAAAUCCUGGAGGCUAAAACCAAGCAGCUGCCAAAAUUCUUCCUCAUAGAAGAAAAGUGCCGGUUUUUGAGCAAUUUCUCGGCACAGACGGCUGAGGUGGAGAUUCCUGGGGAGUUUCUGAUGCCGAAGCCGACCCACUACUACAUCAAGAUCGCCAGGUGAGUGCGCCCGCCCUGGCCUCGCGCGCGCAGGCCCCCCGGGCAGCCCCGGCAGCGGUCCAGACGGUGGCCGCGCUCCCCCUGAGCCAGAGAGGCCCCAGGGUUGCGCCCGGCGUUCGGUCACGAGCACCGCGGCGGGGCUGGCCUAACUGAUGGCUUCAGCCAGGUCUUGUUGGAGUCAGGUUUGUGUUUGCUCUGCAAAGAGCCUCUGCGGCAUCCUCACAGAGCUUGACAGAAUAUAAAGUUUCCCAGUUUUCUGGGCACUCCCGGAGCAGGCUGCAUCUCACUUACAGCGUAAGGAGAGCUGUGCAGAGGAGCCCCGCACAGUCGGGCGCCCCUGCCUGUUUCUCCCGCCCCGCGCCAGCCCCCACUGGCUCCUGGGCUCCUGCUCCUCCGCCCCAGCGCCCCGCGGUGCCGUCUCCGCCGUCUGUUCCUGUGAUGGUUCUGGCUGCCGUUCGUCUGAAGCUCCGUCUUCUCCAAGACCAGGGCAGGGAGUGGCAGCGGGGCGUGGGGGUUUCAGCGUCCGCUUGUGCCCAUAGGUUUAUGCCCCGGGUGGAGAUCGUGCAGAAGCACAACACCGCCGCCAGGAGGCUGUACAUCCGCGGGCACAACGGCAAGGUCUACCCCUACCUGGUCAUGAACGACGCCUGCCUGACGGAGUCGAGGAGGGAGGAGCGCGUGCUGCAGCUGCUGCGCCUGCUGAACCCCUGCCUGGAGAAGAGGAAGGAGACCACCAAGCGGCACUUGUUUUUCACAGUCCCCCGCGUCGUGGCCGUGUCCCCGCAGAUGCGCCUGGUGGAGGACAAUCCCUCCUCGCUCUCCCUGGUGGAGAUCUACAAGCAGCGCUGCGCCAAGAAGGGCAUCGAGCAUGACAACCCCAUCUCCCGCUACUAUGACCGGCUGGCCACGGUGCAGGCGCGGGGCACACAGGCCAGCCACCAGGUGCUCCGCGACAUCCUCAAGGAGGUCCAGAGCAACAUGGUGCCGCGCAGCAUGCUCCGGGAGUGGGCCCUGCACACCUUCCCCAACGCCACCGACUACUGGACCUUCCGCAAGAUGCUCACCAUCCAGCUCGCGCUCAUCGGCUUCGCCGAGUUUGUGCUGCAUCUCAACAGGCUCAACCCCGAGAUGCUGCAGAUAGCGCAGGACACCGGCAAACUCAACGUGGCCUACUUCCGAUUCGACAUAAAUGACGCGACCGGAGACUUGGACGCCAACCGCCCUGUCCCGUUCCGCCUCACCCCCAACAUUUCCGAGUUUCUGACCACCAUCGGCGUCUCGGGCCCUUUGACCGCGUCCAUGAUCGCCGUGGCCCGGUGCUUCGCCCAGCCCAACUUCAAGGUGGACGGCAUCCUGAAAACCGUGCUGCGGGACGAGAUCAUCGCGUGGCACAAAAAAACACAGGAGGACACCUCGUCCCCCCUCUCGGCCGCCGGGCAGCCCGAGAACAUGGACAGCCAGCAGCUGGUGUCCCUGGUUCAGAAGGCCGUGACGGCCAUCAUGACCCGCCUGCACAACCUCGCCCAGUUUGAGGGCGGGGAGAGCAAAGUGAACACCCUGGUGGCCGCCGCCAACAGCCUGGACAACCUGUGCCGCAUGGACCCCGCCUGGCACCCCUGGCUGUGAGCGCGAGGCCGGCCUGCGGCUGGACGGGGACGGUUCCUCCCCUGCCGGUCAGUGCCAGAUGGGGUGGGGGGCAGGUGGGCCUCAGCCAAAGCUUUUCCAGUCACCUUUUAAGCAGCCAGGGCUCCCUGGCGUGGAACUUCUUGUGAGUUCUUUUUUACUGGACUCCUCCCUCUGUGUGAAUGUACAGCUUGAACUGCAGGAAGCACUUCUCUGCCGUCAUUUUUAACACCUGGAAGUUUCCCCUCGCAGGAGCUUCGUGCUUUUGUACAGAACUUUGUAGCCAGUGUACAGAAAACCCACUGUGUCAGAGAAACAGGAAAGUAUGAACAAACUGCGCUGGAUUAUCUCUGAGCACAAACUCCCACGCUGUGGUAACCAACCUGGGAAUGUCACCGAGCGCCUGCCGCCACCGGACCAGGCCCCGCGCCCUGCGGGGCCACCCCCUGCCCACAUUCGGAUUGGGGUCCAGGGAGAACGGAACUUGGGAGCCGACGCUGCUCGGGUGUCUUUGUCUAGACGUCCACUCUCACUGUACCUGGAAAACAAAACACUUCCCUUCUUAACUUAAAAAGCAGCAGCAGAGGUUUGUUCCCUAGCUCCUGUCUGUUCCCAUUUUUAUAAAUGUGAGCACUGAGAAUGUUCUAUCUAAAUUUGUACAGUGUGAUUUUUUUUAGAAUAAAUAUUUUAU